AACGAACGUUAGCGGCGCGCUUAACACAUGCAAGUCGAACGAGAAAGGGCUUCGGCCCCGGUACAGUGGCGCACGGGUGAGUAACACGUGGGUAAUCUACCCUUGAGCGGGGGAUAACGUUUCGAAAGGAGCGCUAAUACCGCAUAAGACCACGCUCUCGAAAGGGAGCGAGGUAAAAGUAGGCCUCUGAAUUCACGCUUACACUCGAGGAUGAGCCCGCGGCCCAUCAUGGUAGUUGGUAGGGUAAUGGCCUACCAAGCCGAAGACGGGUAGCUGGUCUUAGAGGAUGAUCAGCCACACUGGAACUGAGACACGGUCCAGACUCCUACGGGAGGCAGCAGUGGGGAAUCUUGCGCAAUGGGCGAAAGCCUGACGCAGCGACGCCGCGUGGGUGAUGAAGGCCU
rnacentral:rRNA from 1 species